rfam:Pelodiscus sinensis unplaced genomic scaffold scaffold5800, whole genome shotgun sequence.
AGCUCUGUGGUGCAAUGGAAAGCCUGUUGGACUUCUAAGCUGCUAUGGCUAAUAUGAGCCCUGCUAGACAUUCAAAGGCGGUGGGUUCAAGUCCCACCAGAGUCA